UACGGAGGAUCCAAGCGUUAUCCGGAUUCACUGGGUUUAAAGGGUACGUAGGUGGAAUGACAAGUCAGUGGUGAAAACCUGCAGCUUAACUGUAGAACUGCCAUUGAUACUGUUAUUCUUGAGUACAUUUGAUGUGAGCGGAAUGUGUCAUGUAGCGGUGAAAUGCUUAGAUAUGACACAGAACACCAAUUGCGAAGGCAGCUCACAAAACUGUAACUGACACUGAGGCACGAAAGCGUGGGGAGCAAACAGG
rnacentral:rRNA from 1 species